GGGGCUGUGGCUCAGCGGUAGAGCACCCGCCUCUCAAGUGCAAGGCCCUGGGUUUGAUCCUCAGCACCA
rnacentral:tRNA from 1 species